rnacentral:rRNA from 1 species
CCUACGGGAGGCAGCAGUGGGGAAUAUUGGACAAUGGGGGGAACCCUGAUCCAGCGACGCCGCGUGAGUGAAGAAGUAUUUCGGUAUGUAAAGCUCUAUCAGCAGGGAAGAAAGAAAUGACGGUACCUGACUAAGAAGCCCCGGCUAACUACGUGCCAGCAGCCGCGGUAAUACGUAGGGGGCAAGCGUUAUCCGGAUUUACUGGGUGUAAAGGGAGCGUAGACGGCGAUGCAAGUCUGAAGUGAAAGGCGGGGGCCCAACCCCUGGACUGCUUUGGAAACUGUAUGGCUGGAGUGCAGGGGAGGUAAGUGGAAUUCCUAGUGUAGCGGUGAAAUGCGUAGAUAUGAGGAGGAACACCAGUGGCGAAGGCGGCUUACUGGACUGUAACUGACGUUGAGGCUCGAAAGCGUGGGGAGCAAACAGGAUUAGAUACCCCUGUAGUC